rnacentral:rRNA from 1 species
GAUGAACGCUGGCGGCGUGCCUAAUACAUGCAAGUCGAGCGAACAGAUAAGGAGCUUGCUCCUUUGACGUUAGCGGCGGACGGGUGAGUAACACGUGGGUAACCUACCUAUAAGACUGGGAUAACUUCGGGAAACCGGAGCUAAUACCGGAUAACAUUUGGAACCGCAUGGUUCUAAAGUGAAAGAUGGUUUUGCUAUCACUUAUAGAUGGACCCGCGCCGUAUUAGCUAUUUGGUAAGGUAACGGCUUACCAAGGCGACGAUACGUAGCCGACCUGAGAGGGUGAUCGGCCACACUGGAACUGAGACACGGUCCAGACUCCUACGGGAGGCAGCAGUAGGGAAUCUUCCGCAAUGGGCGAAAGCCUGACGGAGCAACGCCGCGUGAGUGAUGAAGGGUUUCGGCUCGUAAAACUCUGUUAUUAGGGAAGAACAAACGUGUAAGUAACUGUGCACGUCUUGACGGUACCUAAUCAGAAAGCCACGGCUAACUACGUG